GUUGCCUGGGAAACAGCUCCAGGGCCUUUGGAACCCCUGCCUACCCUAAGACUCUCCUAAGCCUCAGUUCUACAAUGUUCUAGAUGAUUCCUGAGACCUCUCCAGAGGGUAGUUUCUUCCUGUAAUAUUUUUCAAGGCAACAACCUCCACGUCCCUGAGCUGUGCGAGAGUGGAGCAGAAAGAUCCACCAGGUAUGUGGGUGGAGGAAGCUCAUGGUCUCCUCUGGCCUGGCCUGAUCCUCUGGAGCCACUUGGGAGAGCUCGACAGGAGAUUCAAACAACCAGCCCAUGGCCAAGGACAGGAAGCAAAUGGAGUGCCUGGCAGAGCUCCCUUAGGUCCCUGUAGCCCAUCCAAGAAGCUCUGUCCUUUACCAGGAUGGAGGUCAGAAGAUAACUGGUGAAGCAGGUGGCUCUCAUAUGCUGGUGGCCUCGAGGCGACAGGACACAGGAGGCUGCCUCCACAGGCGGGCGGUGUCCCUCACUGCUCCGAAGGCUGGCAGGCUACUUCUGCUACCUGAAGUCAGAUCUUGCAUAUCAAGAUAGCUUGCCAACCCACACAAUACUCCUCACCUCAGGGGCUCCACCUCCAGCUCUAACCCAAAGUCAAUUGAUUCUUCAGGGGUGUGCAUACAUAUUUGUGCAAUAAAACCAGGGGUUCCUUUGGUUAA